rnacentral:rRNA from 1 species
AAGUCGAACGGGAAACUUUUAAAGAAGCUUCGGCAGAUUUAGCUGGUUUCUAGUGGCGGGCGGGUGAGUAACGCGUGGGUAACCUGCCUUGUACAGGGGGAUAACAGUCAGAAAUGACUGCUAAUACCGCAUAAGCGCACAGGACCGCAUGGUCCAGUGUGAAAAACUCCGGUGGUAUAAGAUGGACCCGCGUUGGAUUAGCUGGUUGGUGGGGUAACGGCCUACCAAGGCGACGAUCCAUAGCCGGCCUGAGAGGGUGAACGGCCACAUUGGGACUGAGACACGGCCCAGACUCCUACGGGAGGCAGCAGUGGGGAAUAUUGCACAAUGGGGGAAACCCUGAUGCAGCGACGCCGCGUGAAGGAAGAAGUAUCUCGGUAUGUAAACUUCUAUCAGCAGGGAAGAGAUUGACGGUACCUGACUAAGAAGCCCCGGCUAACUACGUGCCAGCAGCCGCGGUAAUACGUAGGGGGCAAGCGUUAUCCGGAUUUACUGGGUGUAAAGGGAGCGUAGACGGAUGGACAAGUCUGAUGUGAAAGGCUGGGGCUCAACCCCGGGACUGCAUUGGAAACUGCCCGUCUUGAGUGCCGGAGAGGUAAGCGGAAUUCCUAGUGUAGCGGUGAAAUGCGUAGAUAUUAGGAGGAACACCAGUGGCGAAGGCGGCUUACUGGACGGUAACUGUCGUUGAGG